AAACUUAUUAUUUUUCUGUCAAGAUCUAAUGAGUUCUGAUCAUAGAUGUGAAAAGAAACUAGGAACUCCUACCUCACGAACCUGCUGAAAAUUUUCUGGAAAGGUUUCGAUUUCUUCAAUGACAAAUGAAGAAUCUUCUGCAAAUCUUAAGGAAUACAAGUUUCGUAGGAAAUGAUGCUGAAGGAGAAUGCUUCCGUGAAUCUCUUAACUUACUGAAUCAACUCAGUUUACACCAGCAAUAAGGAUUGAAGAUGAAUAUAAAGAAGAAGAAUUCAUUUUUUGUUACAGUUUUUCUCUGAGUUUAUAUUCUUUUAUUUUGUACUUCUUUUUAUUUUUU